UACAGAGGUGGCAAGCGUUGUUCGGAAUUACUGGGCGUAAAGCGCACGUAGGCGGACUAUUAAGUCAGGGGUGAAAUCCCGGGGCUCAACCCCGGAACUGCCUUUGAUACUGGUAGUCUCGAGUCCGGAAGAGGUGAGUGGAAUUCCGAGUGUAGAGGUGAAAUUCGUAGAUAUUCGGAGGAACACCGAUGGCGAAGGCAGCCCCCUGGGCCAAUACUGACGCUCAGGCACGAAAGCGUGGGGAGCGAACAGG
rnacentral:rRNA from 1 species